rnacentral:lncRNA from 1 species
GGGGACAAGCCGGAGGCCCGCAGAGUGGCCGCCCGAGGCUCAGCCGCAGUUGCAGCUCCGCGGACUCACGGAGAUCGCGCCGGUUUUCUGGGAAACUGGAGCUGGCCAGGUAGGGUUCCCCGAGUCCCUGCUCUUUUCCGGGGCAGGAGAAACUCACAAGUCCGCCGCCCUAGUUUGCCUGGAAUAGGGAGGUAGGUAGCUGGGAAAGGAGACGCCGGUCACUCCAGUGCCCCCAGAUUGGCUAAAAACUGCUCCGCUUUUGACUUUGGCCUAGCGAGGACUAUUAAAUCAAGUGAGACUGAUUAGCAGCAAAAACUGAUGGGUGCUGGAGAGGUGCGUUUGGAUUGUUUGGGAGGGAACAUGAAUCCUUUUAAUCCGUCCUGUUUGCAGAUUCUCCAACUCUGCCUUCCAUCCCACUGGCCAGGGCCCGUGUAAUCUCUCUGACCGACUGACCCUGGACAGGCCGCAUAGCCCACACUUUGGGGUGCAGAUAGGAUAGUGUCUCCAGCCUGCCACGCAGGGAGUGCAGAGUGGCAGUGGCAGGCAGCCCUGGGACCUGGGGGAGGGCUGGAGGCCCUUGGAGAUAGGCUCGGAAACUUGCGGAUCUCUUCUGCUUUCUGUCCAACCUCCUCAAACUCCUCUAGGGCUCAGGAAUUGUGUGUGUUAUGCACUGCUGAAUACUACCCACAUACACCGCUUUCGGGGAGAAAGCGACCCAGGGCCAAAACCCCGGCGGAAAUCAGGGAUAGUCUUGGGUAGUCGGCUCAAGCUCCCCUGAUUCACGUAUUCUAUCGCUUGGAUGUGACCCGGGAGAGUUGGCAGUUGUUACUCUUGGGGAAGAGAUGUCUGGGUGAUGAACUUUCACCAGGUGGAAGGAAAGAGGGGCUUUUCGGUUGAAAGGAAGAGGAUAGUGAGGGACCCGAGGCAGUAAAGGAUCCGGGGAAAUAAGGCCGCGCUGCUGGGAAGCACCUCGGGAAUUUAUUUCCUGUACCUUUGGAAAAGGAAGGCAGCCAGGAAGGACGCUUCGGACAUUAGAAGAAAGAAAGGUUACCUGGGGAGAUUACGGAGGGUUAGUGUAUAAGUUGGUUAGUGACCAUUCUCAGUGUGGCGGGGACCGGAGAGACCCGCGGGAGCCUAAAGGAAAGACCUGUAAAAAGACACAUUCCAGCGCGGUGUAUUUUCUGACUCUCAAAAACAGGUUCCAGAAAAGCUGUGGACUAAAUCCUGAAAAGAGAAAUAAUUUUCUUUCUGUUGGGGAACUUGGGAUGAACGUUGUAGGGUGAUUUGAAAGAGAGAGAAAAGUCUAGGCCAGGCCGGACUAGACUUAAGUGAAAAGAUGGAGGUUACUGGGCCCCAGAUCAUAGAUAGGCAAGAAUCCACCCAGGAGAAUGGUUUCUGGCCUUUCCAGAAAAGAGGGAUAUCUUCUCCACCUUCUAUUGUUCUAGAAAUUCAACAUCAGGUUAAAGCAUCACUCAUUUGAAACUUCAGAGAGCUUCUGCCCACAAGCCUGCGAUCCCAAACGGAUUUAGUGCUUGCAGUUUUUCAGGCUUGCACAUUAACACCACACGUAUACUGUAAGUUAGAUUACAGAAUUCUAAAUCUCUUCUUUUAACUGCUGUUAGUCAAGAAAAGAAAACGUGUAUUACCUUAAAAAAAUAACUUCCUGAGUUGACAUUAUAGAAAGUGUAAUUAAUUAGGACAACUACUUGACUUAAAAAUUGAAUGGUGGAUUUUUUUUUUAAUCAAUGUAAAUCUGCAUAGUUGCUUAUCGGAGUCCAGAGAUUUCCAGAAAGUUUAAAACUUUAUGCCUUUCUUUUUAAAGGGAAAAGUUGGUGAUCUUAGGUCAAGUUUCUUGUAUCCAUCCUCCAGCCAAAUUUGCUAGGAGGAAAUGUCCAACCACUAAGCCGACAGUUUAUUGUAUUGCUAGAAGGAAAUAUUCAACCACCAAGCUGGUAGUUUAUUGCACAUUUUGAAGAAGUAAAUAUAAAACAAUUUAUCAGUCACCGUGUGACCGCACACUUUGUCAUGAUUUCCUUGUUGCUAGAGAUGAUGCAAAGAUGGGGGAAACAUUAGUGCAUAUACUAAAUGCCCAAUUCCAGAAUUUUACAGUAAUAAAGAUGAUGAUUUAUCGUAAGUAUAAAUUACAUCCCAGGUACUCUCUUGUGGUGUAACCUGGAGAUCUGCAUUCAUGGCUGUUGAAUCAUGUGUGUGCCUAAGGCUUCUAAGAUCUGGUCAUGAAUGUUUUGUGUGUAUUGCAUUAUAAUACAGCCAUAAUCCUCCAAUGACUGUAAGACACCUAUAAUAUUUGCACUUUACAGAUGAGGGACUGAAGUGUCGAAAGUUAUUUAUUCAGGAAGGGGACAGGCCCCAGGGUUUGUAUCUAGUUCAUUUAAUAUUACUGCAGAUGCAUCACUGACUAAAAUAGAAACCAAUCAAAAGUAGCUGCCUCUUCUCAAGGGGAAUUGCAAAUACUCAAAGUCCUCCAGUGCCCCACUUCAAGUGUCCGUUGAUCUUCAACAAGUUUCACCUAUACUGCAGUCUUGUCUUCAGUGAAACAAUGAAUGUAGACACCUUUACUUAAUAGAGGUUCAGAGAGGAAGGAUUGGAAUUAACAGGUGUGUUAGGAAAAUAGAGGGACACCCCCCCCCACACACACACACACCAUAGUCUCUGGUAAUGACAAAACCCAGGAUGCCAGGAAGGAUGCUGUUAAGCAUCAAGAAUCAAUUCUGGUUUGGGUGGAUCUUCAGUUCCACAAGAAAAAGUCAUGUAGGGAGCACUUCCCAGAGUUCUGUAAAGUGGCCUUUUUCAACCCGCCUGCUUUUCUGGUCCCCAUAUAUAGUCUGCAAAGUGUUUAAAAUGUAACUAUUUGCAGAAACGUGUGACUUGUCUGAUUUGACACCCACAUGAUGCACAGUACGAUUAAGGAGUUUCACAAUCCUUUUUAUGGUUUCACCAACACUUGCUCAUUUAUAAACAUUUAGAUUCUACCUCUAGGCGUUCGGUUUUUGGUUUUUUUUUUUUUUCUCUUCUUCUUUGUUUGUUUGGCUUUUUUGUUUUUUAGAUUACAAACAAAACUUUCACGGGUUGCUGGUUUUUUUUUUAUAAAGUUUGUUAUCACCUCCGCCCAAACUACAGUUCUUGUUUGGUCAAGAAAAUGUUUGAAGAGAAGAGGGGAAACAAUUAAAACUUAAAAAAAAAAAAGAUAGAUCUUUUGAGUCCUUACCAUUCUUCAGAGCUCAAAACCCUGUGUUUACAGAAUACUCAGGGAAAAAAGAAAAGAAAAAG